rnacentral:rRNA from 1 species
UGGCGUACACGCCUACCAAGACUACGAUGUUUAGCUGGUCUGAGAGGAUGAUCAUCCACACUGGAAGUGGUCCACGGUCCAGACUCCUACUGGAGGCAGCAGUGAGGAAUUUUGCGCAAUGGGGGAAACCCUGACGCAGCAACGCCGCGUGAGUGAAGUAGGCCCCCGGGUCGUAAAGCUCUGUCGACAGGGAAGAAAUUGUUUCAUAUUAAUAGUAUGUCGCAUUGACGGUACCUGUAGAGGAAGCACCGGCUAACUCCGUGCCAGCAGCCGCGGUAAUACGGGGGGUGCAAGCGUUAUUCGGAAUUAUUGGGCGUAAAGGGCGCGUAGGCGGUCUUGUCGGUCAGAUGUGAAAGCCCAGGGCUCAACCCUGGACGUGCAUUUGAAACAGCAAGACUUGAGUACGGGAGAGGAAAGCGGAAUUCCUGGUGUAGAGGUGAAAUUCGUAGAUAUCAGGAGGAACACCGAUGGCGAAGGCAGCUUUCUGGACCGAUACUGACGCCCAGGCGCGAAGGCGUGGGUAGCGAACAGGAUUAGAUACCCUGGUAGUCCACGCAGUAAACGAUGUUCACUAGGUGUAGCGGGUAUUAAAAUCUGCUGUGCCC